GAAGAGAAGAAGUGCAGCCGGACACCUGCCGCCUUGUCAGGCCUGUGCCGCCGCUUCCGCAGCCCGAAAUCAUCCGGCCCUCCAAGGCAACGCUCUGGUGCUCCAGGUGAAGGCUGAAGAACGAUAUGUGCGGUGGGCUCGGGCAGAGGCGGGUCCCCGCCCUUUCUAUUCGUGUGAACUGUGGUGUGUGUGACCAGCACCCAUCCCUUUACUGUGGGGGUGGGCACCCCGGCGAGCCGCAAAACAGCAGGCGGACUCCCCUGCUGGAGAGAAGCCGGGGAAAUGCAAUGGAGGGCUUGCUAAUUGAAGUUGAAGCAUCAGAUGUCUUGAAAGCACUCAAACUCAUCAGGCAUAGAAUACAGUGUUCAGGAAAUUAUAGCAUUACUACAUUCUGGAAUGCCUGACAAGAAUAAAUUCAGGAAGGCUUGGAGGAGAAAAGAAGUGGAAUUUGUCUCUUCACACUUUGAAUCUGGCCUAGCACCUGAGCCCUGCUUUGAUGAAAAGAAUGCAGUAGGAGCAGCACUGUGGACCUCAUGAAGCUUCGCAGCUUCCACUUUUGUCCCUUUGGAACACUGCCCAAGACUGCCACUUGAAGAAUCCCAGUCUAGCCUGGUGGAGGAGGAGAGGGUAUUGGGACUACAUGAGCCAACCCAUCUGAGGCCUUUUAAAUUAGCCAGCUGACAGCUAGCAUCUACCGUCUACCAUUGGAGGGCAUCUUAAACCUUCCGGCCCCAGUCAAGCCACCAUAUUAUUGUAGCCACUGAGUGAGCCCAGGCAAGACCAGCAGAAAAUUUGUCACCCAGUUGAGUCCAGCCCAAAUUGUUGACCCACAGAAUCAUGAGCAAAAAUAAUGGCCAUUGUAAACCACUACAUUUUGGGGGUGGCUUAUUAUGCAGCAGAAACUAAAUCAUACAGGAGGUUAUCCCAGGAAGCACCAGUGAGGAAAUAAGAGAAGUAAG